rnacentral:lncRNA from 1 species
UUGCCUGGCCUACAACCUGUGGCCAAACUGGUGAAGAUUGAGUUCUCUUGACCCAGCCCAGCCACCACUGACUUCACAAAGAGCAAACUCAGUUGAGCUCUCCAUCAAACAGUGACAGAACAACUUGUUCAUGACCAAUACCACACUUCAGGACAAACCUCAGGGGAGCCCUCUAGAGAGAGAGAGAAGACUACAGUUCCUGAGGGCUUUUAAGUUGGUCCUUUGAGUUCAUCCCCAUUCUUACCCCCAUGGAAUCCGCAUGCAUCUGUGGGAUAGUGUGCUCCAGGUCUAGGGAAGAAUUCUUUGUAACUACUUUUCUUGUUGUGACAUUUGAGUAAAUGCUUUUGCUAUAGAGUGGAGUCUUCUCAAUGAAUGCUAUCUGUCUCCAGAGAAAGAACGGUUGGAGUUGGAAUGCAGUUUGUCUUCCCAUUGGAUGGGCCAAAGCUUGAGAAAAUGACAGAAAUCAUACAUAGCACCGAUUAA